AUUGGACGCUGGCGGCAGGCCUAACACAUGCAAGUCGAGCGGAUGAAGGGAGCUUGCUCCUGGAUUCAGCGGCGGACGGGUGAGUAAUGCCUAGGAAUCUGCCUGGUAGUGGGUGAUAACGUCCGGAAACGGGCGCUAAUACCGCAUACGUCCUGAGGGAGAAAGUGGGGGAUCUUCGGACCUCACGCUAUCAGAUGAGCCUAGGUCGGAUUAGCUAGUUGGUGGGGUAAAGGCCUACCAAGGCGACGAUCCGUAACUGGUCUGAGAGGAUGAUCAGUCACACUGGAACUGAGACACGGUCCAGACUCCUACGGGAGGCAGCAGUGGGGAAUAUUGGACAAUGGGCGAAAGCCUGAUCCAGCCAUGCCGCGUGUGUGAAGAAGGUCUUCGGAUUGUAAAGCACUUUAAGUUGGGAGGAAGGGCAGUAAGUUAAUACCUUGCUGUUUUGACGUUACCAACAGAAUAAGCACCGGCUAACUUCGUG
rnacentral:rRNA from 1 species